GAUUUCUGACUUGGCGCACCUGGCCCGCCACGGUUACGUGUGUGAGUGCCGGGAUGCGCCUGUCACUGUUCUGGUAAACUAUUGUGCUCUUCAUUGGGUGUGAUAGGUAGCCAGAUAUUUUACUUUGAAAAAAUUAGAGUGUUUAAAGCAGGCGUUUGCUAUGAAUACAUUAGCAUGGAAUAAUAAGUUAGGACUUCGGUUCUAUUUUGUUGGUUUCUAGGACUGAAGUAAUGAUUGAUAGGGAUAGUUGGGGGUGCUAGUAUUCAGCGGCCAGAGGUGAAAUUCUCGGAUUCGCUGAAGACUAACUUAUGCGAAAGCAUU
rnacentral:rRNA from 2 species